rnacentral:misc_RNA from 1 species
GAAAUUUCAAAUGAAAUUGUGAAACUAAGGCAUUGAUAACAAUAGGCAUCAUAUGAGAAUUAUAGUUACUCCAUGCUUUGAUCACUUAAUAUGUUCAAAACCCUAGAAUCAUCGGUGAUUUUAUUAUUUGAAGAAAGAGAUGUACCAUUUUCAAAGGGUGUUCUGUCUAGCAAUGAAGAGUAUUGUCAAUUUAUGCAUCCUGAAGUUGCUAAACAAAUAGACUUGAAGAUGCAUUGGAAGACACCACAUUCAAGAGUCGAUCGUUU